rnacentral:tRNA from 1 species
GCCUGGGUGGCUAGUUGGUUAAGCCAUCUGACUUCAGCUCAGAUCAUGAUCUCACAGUUUGUGAGUUUGAGCCCCAUGUCAGGCU